GCCGUUGGUUGAGGGAUCUGACUGUAGGGCUUUGGGGGGUAUCAAUUCUGUGCUACUCUGGUUUGCCUUGCAAAUAGGCAACACGUAUUUCCAAGGAAAAGGGGCUGCAGGCACAGAGGUACACAUACUGGCAGUUGGAAAUCAACUGAAAAUUCUAAAAGGCCCACGGAUAUGGGAGGGUGCUAACAGCAUCGGCUUCACCAGGAUUAGGUACAUCUGGAGGUUGGGAAUAUACUUCAAACAUUGCUUGUUUUCAUCUGUGACUUAACAACAUGAUUAAGUGGGUACUUGUGCAGACUUGUACAAGGGUACAUUGCGUGAUGCUGAGGUUUGGAGUACAACUGAACCCGUCAUCUAGGUGAUAAUAAAGAAAACUAGAGAACAGGAAAUGAAGAAUUGUUUAUUUUUCUUCUUGAGCACUUAUUUCAUGUCAUUUUAAUAAUUUUGAAGCAAAAAAUAAACAGAAAUAAUAUCCAAAGACAUUUUCAGUUUAAUUGAUUGCCAUUCUAAUACAUAAAGGUAAGAAUUUUAGUGACCAGUGUUUUGUAUCUGACUCUUAUUUUAGAAUUUCCAGUGUUCUAAGGAUUCCUUAUUAAUUAUUUACCUCAGGUCUUGAGAGAGAAGUUUUGAUACAGAAAAGCAGAUUUUGACAAAUAUACACAAAGAGUGGUAAAGGGUUUAGACAGUAAUUUGGACCCUUGAAAAUUUUAUCAAGCUGUGUGAUAAAAAAGUCAGUACUUAUCAAUCCUCAAGAAUGGAAAGGGAUACUACUUAUGUUAAGCAAAAUUAUCUCAUUUUGAGAAAAACAAGACAAUCUCCUCAUAAAGGUUUCUUUGCUUUUUGUUUUAAGGUACCUCCCAAAGAAGCAACCUUGUUCAUGUCAAAAGCUCCCUAAAAUGGCCAGUGCACUUCCACAUUGUCCUCGGUGAAAGUGUGCCAGUUAGAUAAUAGGCAUACUAGUUAGUAUUCUUAUGAUUAAAAAAAAAAAAAUGAAGAAAGUUUAGCCUGAAAGAGGCACAAUUUUAGAAUGAGGAGACCCUAAGAGAACUGCAGUGGUCCUUAAGGGUAGUGUUUGGGUAACUAUCUGUUGAGUUUGACCAAAGGCCAUGGUCACCAUUGGAUGCCAGGCAAAACCUCCUGAAAGAAGGCAGGGGACGCUAAACAAAGCAAUCCUCAGACACACAAAGUCAACACCGAGGAAUAAGCCCUUAUAGGGUUUUGAAAUGAUGAUCUGAGGCAAAGGAAUGCCAACCUGAAGAACCCUUCUAAACUACACAGCUACUAUGAUAAGCUCCAGGAUUGACUUAUCAGGCUUGGCUGGCUGACUUUAAGGAGGCCUCCAUGAGCCCUGCCUCCUUGUGGUCACACUUCUGUGUAAUUCCUCCCUUUCUUGAGUGUAGGUAGGAGGUGCAACUUGUUUUUAAUGAAUGGAAUGCAAAAAA